AUUGAACGCUGGCGGCAGGCCUAACACAUGCAAGUCGAACGGUAACAGGAAGAAGCUUGCUUCUUUGCUGACGAGUGGCGGACGAGUGAGUAAUGUCUGGGAAACUGCCUGAUGGAGGGGGAUAACUACUGGAAACGGUAGCUAAUACCGCAUAACGUCGCAAGACCAAAGAGGGGGACCUUCGGGCCUCUUGCCAUCGGAUGUGCCCAGAUGGGAUUAGCUAGUAGGUGGGGUAACGGCUCACCUAGGCGACGAUCCCUAGCUGGUCUGAGAGGAUGACCAGCCACACUGGAACUGAGACACGGUCCAGACUCCUACGGGAGGCAGCAGUGGGGAAUAUUGCACAAUGGGCGCAAGCCUGAUGCAGCCAUGCCGCGUGUAUGAAGAAGGCCUUCGGGUUGUAAAGUACUUUCAGCGGGGAGGAAGGGAGUAAAGUUAAUACCUUUGCUCAUUGACGUUACCCGCAGAAGAAGCACCGGCUAACUCCGUG
rnacentral:rRNA from 1 species